GAUGAACGCUGGCGGCGUGCUUAACACAUGCAAGUCGAACGGGAAUUACUUUAUUGAAACUUCGGUCGAUAUGAUUUAAUUCUAGUGGCGGACGGGUGAGUAACGCGUGGGUAACCUGCCUUAUACAGGGGGAUAACAGUCAGAAAUGACUGCUAAUACCGCAUAAGCGCACAGAGCUGCAUGGCUCGGUGUGAAAAACUCCGGUGGUAUAAGAUGGACCCGCGUUGGAUUAGCUAGUUGGUGAGGUAACGGCCCACCAAGGCGACGAUCCAUAGCCGGCCUGAGAGGGUGAACGGCCACAUUGGGACUGAGACACGGCCCAGACUCCUACGGGAGGCAGCAGUGGGGAAUAUUGCACAAUGGGGGAAACCCUGAUGCAGCGACGCCGCGUGAAGGAAGAAGUAUCUCGGUAUGUAAACUUCUAUCAGCAGGGAAGAAAAUGACGGUACCUGACUAAGAAGCCCCGGCUAACUA
rnacentral:rRNA from 1 species